UGCUAAGGUAGCACAAUCAAUAGCCUUUUAAUUUAAGGAUAGAAUGAAAGGACACACGUCUUAAUAAUUUUAUUUAUUAUUUUUAACUAAAUUUACUCAAUUGUAAAAAGGCACUUAUACAAAAAAAAGACAAAAAGACCCUAUCGAACUUCAUUUCAUUAAUUUAGCUGGGGUGGUUAUUAACAAAAACUUAAUUUACAUUACAAUAAAGACCUUAUAAAAUAAAUCAUAAGAACAAGUUACCGUAGGGAUAACAGCGUUACAGAAUUUUUAAGACCUUAUAAAAAAUUCUCACUGCGACCUCGAUGUUGAAUUAAAGUCACUUUAUUAAGCAAAAGAAAAAAAAGUAGGUCUGUUCGACCUUUAAAACUUUACAUGAUUUGAGUUCAGACCGGCGCAAGCCAGGUCAGUUUAUAUCUUUUUUCAAAAAAAGUCAGUACGAAAGGACCCCUUUUUUAAUAAUA
rnacentral:rRNA from 1 species